UCCACUCACAUCCUAUGGGUCUUACCUUUUCAGGUGAAUCAACGAAUGUCUAUACAUCGUCGAUCUUCAUGGACUUCAUUUCAGAUUUAAUGGCUUCAAGCCACUUCUUAAAGUUAGAUCCCUGUAUUGCAUUCGUAUGGAAGAUCAAAUCUCCAUCUCGAAUCCAAAAAUUAAGUAUCUAUUCGGCUGAUACGGUACUCUACCAUAUCUACUCAGAGAUGCCUUUACAUCAGACUCCAGAUUUGAUCUAAUCAAUUCUGGUUCUGUUGAUUUGUGUCAGAGUUGGUUCUUUUAUCUAUCAAGCUUCACCAAGCUUGCUCUUAACGGCAUCAGUUCUUUCAUAAAAAAUUUUUUUUUCCAAAAAGAAUAUCUUAAGAUUCAUGAAAAUCUCAUAUCCAUCAGGAAGGUAGAAGAAAUAUCCUUAAUAUAAUAUUUAUCAGAUCAAGAUUUAAGCUAGUCGAUUUGUGAACAUUUUACAUAAGUUCGACACCCCGAAUCCUAAGAUAAGAGAGCAUCGUAUUAAGUCAGUCCAUAUCUCAUAUGGAGUUUUGGCAAUCAAUUUGCUUGGAAUGUUCUUGAGCACAUAUCAAAUAGUCUUUAAAACAUAACUUCAGGCAGACC
rnacentral:lncRNA from 1 species